AAAAUUGUUUAAUUAAACCACAAAUACCACAAUAUUAUUGUCAAUAAGCCGGGUGUCAAAUAGAAGGUUAUUUAUAAGUUGGUGACGUGUUGUCAACAAAACAUCUUAGAAAAUGACCGGUCGGGCAUAGUGUAUCUUACCUUUAUCUGAACUAUGACUAACUCCGCCUAACUAACAGUAACGUCACACUGGCAGAGUGGAAUAUGAAGUGGAAUGGAAAACAAGGUUACUGGGAACACGUGAUCUCUGGCCGCAUAGUCGUAGAUUGGUGCCGAUGUGGUGCUCUCAAAUUGUAUAUUUUUAUUUUUACAUGUAUCCGAUCAUUUCUUAUUAUUGAUAUAAUUGUGUAAAUACGAUUAAAUUUAUACACUAUAAUCCUAUAGAUAUGUGAUUACAGGUAUUAUGGGAUAAUUAAACAAUAUUAUAUACUACUUUCCAAAAUCUGGAGAUAAAUUUAUUCGUACAUUUUAUUUUAUUAAAUUAUACUUGCUAAUAA